rfam:Ictidomys tridecemlineatus contig040446, whole genome shotgun sequence.
GGGGUUGUGGCUCAGUGGUAGAGCACUUGCCUAGCAUGCAUGAGGCACUGGUUCAAUUCUCAGCACCU